GUCAGGAUGGCCGAGUGGUUAAGGCGUUGGACUUGAAAUCCAAUGGGGUUUCCCCGCGCAGGUUCGAACCUUGCUCCUGACG
rnacentral:tRNA from 1 species